ensembl:lncRNA
UGUGGUUUGUUUUUAGUCUCAGUGCUACAGAGAUUUCUUCUGUGUGACCAAAAUUGUCAGUUUAAAGAACAAACAAAAAUGUUUUUUGACAAUAUUGAGAACAGAAUGUCUGUCUAUAAAUAUAUAAAUAUAUAUAUUCAAACAUUUCUAUUGUUAGGGUAAUAAUGAGCUUUUGAGCCGAGCUAGUUGUUUGUCUUAUGAGUCUGCUGUUAGUGAUGGGCCGUGUUUGUGUAAGCGACUCGGUUGAGCGGAUCUUUGUGCGUGCGUGCGUUGCUGUUCUGCCCCAGGACUACGAUUUGCUCAACAUCUCUCAGGAGUCUGGAAUUCUGUCUGGUGAUUCUGAGUCCUUUUCCUCGCGGGAAUUUCGACCUUUCCAUACUAUCUUCAUUGGUGCAGGAGUUCCUCUUGGAGUUAAUGUUCAAUAAUGCCCCCCUCACUGACUCCUUGACCUAUACUACAAAUAUUGUUUACAUCUAAGAACAGUUUAAUGAAGGCAUUUGGGGAUUUUUGACACCGUGCAAUGGACUUUUUCCCCCUCUAUCCUAAAUUGUGCAUUGCCCAUUAUAUCCGGUUGAAAGUGGCCUUUGUGGAGUACAACUGUUAAUUUGAGACUCCCUUAGUGCCCCACUCAUAUCAGCCUGUUAGUCUCCUGCAUUUUGAAUGAACGUUCUAAAGCAUUCCUGUUCUCCACCAUUGAGUAUGGCUUAAUGCAACAUUCCCCUUCCCCUCAUAUUCCUUCUAGUUUAAUAUGGCUCUUGUGUUGCUGUUUUUUUUUCUCCAAACAAAGGCUAUGAAAUUGCCUGAGCAACCCUAACCCUGAGUGACACUACAUCACGUUUCAGCUGGCCCUCUGGGGCCUCUGUUCUGCCAUUGAAACACUAAAAUUGGUUUCUUUAAAUGUAUUGUGUAUUGGGGCCCUGGUCAGAUGUAUGCAUUUUGGGCUGUCUCUCUGACUGGACAAUGCCCAGUGUCAUGCCACACCCUGAGAGAUGGCAAAAGGAAGAGUCCUGGGGGGCUCCACCCAGACCCCCUCUGCUUCAGUGUUUUAGUGGUCUCCAUUUGGUAACUUUGUGACUGUCAAGGUAAUCCCAAUAAAAAAUAAAGUGUAACCAAUGGAACUGUCUUAUUUCUGUAGCAGAUGUUGGGUCCCAAAAAUGCAUUAAAUAUUAUCUAAAAAGUUGAC